rnacentral:rRNA from 1 species
AGAGUUUGAUCCUGGCUCAGAUUGAACGCUGGCGGCAUGCUUUACACAUGCAAGUCGAACGGCAGCAUAGGUGCUUGCACCUGAUGGCGAGUGGCGGACGGGUGAGUAAUGCAUCGGGACGUGUCCGGAAGAGGGGGAUAACUGUUCGAAAGAACAGCUAAUACCGCAUAAUAUCCGAGGAAGAAAGCUGGGGACCUUAGGGCCUGGCGCUUACGGGGCGACCGAUGUCUGAUUAGCUAGUUGGUGGGGUAACAGCCUACCAAGGCGACGAUCAGUAGCUGGUCUGAGAGGACGACCAGCCACACUGGGACUGAGAAACGGCCCAGACUCCUACGGGAGGCAGCAGUGGGGAAUUUUGGACAAUGGGGGCAACCCUGAUCCAGCAAUGCCGCGUGUCUGAAGAAGGCCUUCGGGUUGUAAAGGACUUUUGUUGGGGAGCAAGGUGCACAGGUUAAGAGCUAGUGUACUUGAGAGUACCCAAAGAAUAAGGACCGGCUAACUACGUGCCAGCAGCCGCGGUAAUACGUAGGGUCCAAGCGUUAAUCGGAAUUACUGGGCGUAAAGAGUGCGCAGGCGGCUUUGUAAGCUUGAUGUGAAAUCCCCGGGCUCAACCUGGGAACUGCAUUGAGGACUGCAAGGCUAGAGUGUAGCAGAGGGGGGUAGAAUUCCACGUGUAGCGGUGAAAUGCGUAGA